CGAGCUCUGUCGCGAGGUGCGUCGCAGGAGGAUGGUGCAGGGCAAGACACGGCGCCGCAGCUCCACCACACACGUCAAGCAAGCGAUUAACAAGAUGCUCACCAAAAUCAGCAGUUAGAGGCCCUGCCACACUGUGCCGAAAAGUGGGAAGGCCUUCCUGGGUCUUCUUUUGCCCCUCAACCACAGCCAAGAUAUUCCACUUCUUAUUCUGAGUUUGGGGAACGUCAGGGUUUCUCGUGGUUCCCGAUCCAGUAAAUGCUGGGAAAUUCUCGAGUGUCUUCUGCAGCCCCGUGCUGGGACAGUCUCUCUCUUCCCUGCUUGCGUAGGAUCGGUGCUAGUGUAGUUUGAAGAUGUAACCACCAAAGACGUUGAAGUGGCUGGGUUCGCGGAAGCUAAUUUUAGGGUAUCUCUGCCUGCUUAAAUAAGCUGCAAGUCUUUUCAAAGGCAUUUUAAGAUUCCGAAUGUCUGGUGAGAAGGUUAGCAGAGCGAUUCGAAUGGGAAACAGAAUUCUAGUUCCCAUUCGAAGUGAGGAUUUUUUUUAUAUCGUUAUUGUUAUUAUCUUACUUAAAUUAUGGGGCUUUCCUUUAACACUUUAUUUCAUUUUUAGGUUGAAAUGGUAUCACUGACUUUGGCUUUGUGAUGUAAUUGCCCAUUUCAGUUCAAGUUGGUUCUCUCUCAGCGAUCUACAGCAGUCCUUAGGCACCAUAUUCUAUUAUUUCCUUAAUAACAAAAGAAACAGGACCCACAAUUCGUUCCCUCCUGUGGCUUUGCUCCCCCAAACCUGGGUGAUAAGAAAAAGAAAAAAACAAAACAACAACAACAACAAAAAAAAAAAAAAAAAACCCACCAGGAACCUUUGUACCAAAGCUCGACUUCAGUGCAUGUUCGUAGGGGAAUUACAAUUAGAGACACCUGGUUUGUUUACUCUAUUAGCACCGUAGCGGGAAGGUCGCCCUCUAAAUAAGACAAUUAUGAUGCUUCGUUAUUCCUCCUUGGAAACCAAGGCAGAAUCCCAUGCAGUCAGAAAGAGUCAGCCUCUGAUUCAGUAAGUUGCCCACAUGCCUCCUCCUUAACCUUUUUAACCUUUGGGUAAGAUUAAUUCACAUGGGGGAAUUCAGAGAAAUAAUGGGUGAGUGAAAUUCACCAUACCUGAACAAGCGUGUAAAAAGCGGAUGCUUGACUGACUGAAGGAUUCUUUAACUGCCCAGAGUUUAUGACUUCUCUUCAUUUCCUGCCCCAUAUACUGAGAUUUGGGCACUUUAUUUCAGGAUAAAAUAUAUAUCUUUUACGAUGUCUGUAUUUAUAUGUAUACUUAUAAGUAUGUAUAAAAUUUGUAAGCAUCGAAGGUUUUAACUCACCAAUGUAUUUGAACAAUCUGGUGUAACUGACUCCGUUUUAUGUGAUUAUAAUAAAAAAUAUAAUUUUCAAA
rnacentral:lncRNA from 1 species